GACGGGCCGCCGCCUCCGGGUCGGCCUGGAGGUGGACCUGCUGGAGUGCGGCUGGGGCCGCGAAACCAGGGGCAUCAGCCGGUCCCCAGCCGGUCCCCAGCCGGUCCCCAGCCGGCCCUGUGGAGGCGGGGUCAGGACGGCAAACCGUUUUAUUGCUUAACUCAGCUGCGGGCUUGCCUCUGCGUCCUGCCUCUCCGACACCCGCUUAUUCCUGGGAGAGGGCGAUUUGGGGGCAACUUGAUCUGAGUUGCAGGGCUCCAGGACAAGAGGUUGUUCCCUGGGAUACUUGGGGUCAGUCGUUGGGGAACCCCUGCCUGGCCACCGUCCGCAGGCGUCCCAGACGCGGUGUGCAGGGCGCGCACCUCGUCACGGGGGCUGCGCUCGGAGCUGGCGGUGGGACCCGGGCACAGUGGCCGGUGGCAGGAAGAGCCAAAGGCAUCCUGUAUUAGCUCACUCAGGAAUCCUAAGCCCUGAAUCGGCGCCCUUUUACUCACUUCAUCAGACAAGCAGAGAUGAGGUAGCUGGCUCAGAGCAGCUGCCUAACUUCCAAGAUCACACAGCCAGUAAGAGGUGGACCUGGAUCUGCAGCCAGGCAGCGUGGAUCCGGUGUUUGCCUCCUCGCCACUUUGCGGCUUAUGAAAGAAGUGCUUGGGACACCUGGGUGGCUCAGUGAUUGAGCGUCUGCCUUCGCCUCAGGUCGUGAUCCCGGGGUCCUGGGAUCGAGUCCUGCAUCAGGCUCCCCCUGGGGAGCCUGCAUCUCUGCCUCUCUC